rnacentral:SRP_RNA from 1 species
GCCGGGUGCAGUGGCGCGCGCCUGUAAUCCAAGCUGCUGGGAGGCUGAGGCUGGCGGAUUGCUUGAGUUCAGGGGUUCUGGGCUGCCGUGGACUAUGUCGAUCGGGUGUCCGCGCUAAGUUCGGUAUCGAUAUGGUGUUCCUGGGGGAGCUCGGGACCACCAGGUCGUCUAAGGAGGGGUGAACCGGCCCAGGUCGGAGACGGAGCAGGUCAAAAGCCCCCGUGCCGAUCAGUAGUGGGGUCGCACCUAGUGAAUAGACACUGCAGUGCAGCCUGAGCGAUACAGCGAGACUCAGUCUUUU